rnacentral:rRNA from 1 species
CGACGCCGCGUGGGUGAUGAAGGCCUUCGGGUGUAAAGCCCUGUGGGGAGGGACGAAUAACGCCGACCUAAUACGUCGGUGGAUGACGGUACUCCUUAGCAAGCACCGGCUAACUCUGUGCCAGCAGCCGCGGUAAGACAGAGGGUGCAAACGUUGUUCGGAAUUACUGGGCGUAAAGCGCGAGUAGGCGGUCAUGCAAGUCGGGUGUGAAAGCCCGGGGCUCAACCCCGGAAGUGCAUUCGAUACUGCGUGGCUAGAGUACUGGAGAGGAUGGUGGAACUCUCGGUGUAGAGGUGAAAUUCGUAGAUAUCGAGAAGAACACCGGUGGCGAAGGCGGCCAUCUGGACAGAUACUGACGCUGAGACGCGAAAGCGUGGGGAGCAAACAGGAUUAGAUACCCUGGUAGUCCACGCCGUAAACGAUGGGUGCUAGGUGUCACGGGUAUUGACCCCUGUGGUGCCGAAGCUAACGCAUUAAGCACCCCGCCUGGGAAGUACGGCCGCAAGGCUA